GACGAACGCUGGCGGCGUGCUUAACACAUGCAAGUCGAACGGAAAGGCCCUGCUUUUGUGGGGUGCUCGAGUGGCGAACGGGUGAGUAACACGUGAGUAACCUGCCCUUGACUUUGGGAUAACUUCAGGAAACUGGGGCUAAUACCGGAUAGGAGCUCCUGCUGCAUGGUGGGGGUUGGAAAGUUUCGGCGGUUGGGGAUGGACUCGCGGCUUAUCAGCUUGUUGGUGGGGUAGUGGCUUACCAAGGCUUUGACGGGUAGCCGGCCUGAGAGGGUGACCGGCCACAUUGGGACUGAGAUACGGCCCAUACUCCUACGGGAGGCAGCAGUGGGGAAUAUUGCACAAUGGGCGGAAGCCUAAUGCAGCAACGCCGCGUGCGGGAUGACGGCCUUCGGGUUGUAAACCGCUUUCGCCUGUGACGAAGCGUGAGUGACGGUAAUGGGUAAAGAAGCACCGGCUAACUACGUG
rnacentral:rRNA from 1 species